UACGUAGGGCGCAAGCGUUGUCCGGAAUUAUUGGGCGUAAAGAGCUCGUAGGCGGUUUGUCACGUCGGAUGUGAAAGCCCGGGGCUUAACCCCGGGUCUGCAUUCGAUACGGGCAGACUGGAGUGUGGUAGGGGAGAUCGGAAUUCCUGGUGUAGCGGUGAAAUGCGCAGAUAUCAGGAGGAACACCGAUGGCGAAGGCAGUGGGCUGGGCCGGCACUGACGCUGAGGAGCGAAAGCGUGGGGAGCGAACAGG
rnacentral:rRNA from 1 species